AGAGCCGCUGAUUGGUGAACAAUUUGUAAUGGAGGUUGGGUACUCUGCUGACCGGAAGCAGAAUGAGCACCAGAAGAUGCUAAGGAGAUGGGAGAAAUCCUUGCUGAAGGCUGCGACAGUGGCUCGUUGUUCUGCUGGUAGGUAGCCGGUUGGCCAGCUGAAGAUGAAACAGGGACGAAGUUAUUACCAGGCUCAGGCUGCGUCAGCAGAGUAGUAUGCAGCUGUGUGGCUGCAGGUUGGCUAUCAGAAGAUGCAGUCACGGGUAAAAUCCUAGUUCCAUAUUGUGAUGAUAAAGUCGUAUUUUGCUGAUUGGCUGAUGGUUGGCGAGCCAUAGACGAGACAGUAUUUAGGUGAAGCCUUGAUGCAGGCUGUGACCUAAGAGCUGUAUUCUGUUGACUGGAAGCAGGUUGGCCAGCUGAAGAUGCAACGGUGAUGGGAGAUGGUCUAGGUGCAGUAUGCUGAGGUAACU
rnacentral:lncRNA from 1 species